rnacentral:rRNA from 1 species
GACAGAGGGUGCGAACGUUGCUCGGAAUUACUGGGCGUAAAGCGCGUGUAGGCGGGUGGUCAAGUCGGGCGUGAAAGCCCUGGGCUCAACCCAGGAACUGCACUCGAUACUGCGGAGCUCGAGUACGAGAGAGGGGGGUGGAAUUCCAGGUGUAGCGGUGAAAUGCGUAGAUAUCGAGAGGAACACCGGCGGCGAAGGCGGGUUGCUGGGCUGAUACUGACGCUGAGGCGCGAAAGCCAGGGGAGCGAACGGG